GAUGAAGAACGUAGUGAAAUGCGAUAAGUAGUGUGAAUUGCAGAAUUCAGUGAAUCAUCGAAUCUUUGAACGCACAUUGCGCCCCUUGGUAUUCAAUGGGGCAUGCCUGUUCGAGCGUCAUUUGUACCUUCAAGCUCUGCUUGGUGUUGGGUGUUUGUCUCGCCUCUGCGUGUAGACUCGCCUCAAAACAAUUGGCAGCCGGCGUAUUGAUUUCGGAGCGCAGUACAUCUCGCGCUUUGCACUCAUAACGACGACGUCCAAAAGUACAUUUUUACACUCUUGACCUCGGAUCAGGUAGGGAUACCCGCUGAACUUAAGCAUAUCAAUAAGCGGAGGA
rnacentral:misc_RNA from 1 species